UGGGGAAUAUUGCACAAUGGGCGAAAGCCUGAUGCAGCGACGCCGUGUGAGGGAUGACGGCCUUCGGGUUGUAAACCUCUUUCAGCAGGGACGAAGCGCAAGUGACGGUACCUGCAGAAGAAGCACCGGCUAACUACGUGCCAGCAGCCGCGGUAAUACGUAGGGUGCAAGAGUUGUCCGGCAUUACUGGGCGUAAAGAGUUCGUAGGCGGUUUGUCGCGUCGUUUGUGAAAACCAGCAGCUCAACUGCUGGCUUGCAGGCGAUACGGGCAGACUUGAGUACUGCAGGGGAGACUGGAAUUCCUGGUGUAGCGGUGAAAUGCGCAGAUAUCAGGAGGAACACCGGUGGCGAAGGCGGGUCUCUGGGCAGUAACUGACGCUGAGGAACGAAAGCGUGGGUAGCGAACAGG
rnacentral:rRNA from 1 species